rnacentral:rRNA from 1 species
AGACCCGAAACCCGGUGAUCUAGCCAUGGGCAGGUUGAAGGUUGGGUAACACUAACUGGAGGACCGAACCGACUAAUGUUGAAAAAUUAGCGGAUGACCUGUGGCUGGGGGUGAAAGGCCAAUCAAACCGGGAGAUAGCUGGUUCUCCCCGAAAGCUAUUUAGGUAGCGCCUCGUGAAUUCAUCUCCGGGGGUAGAGCACUGUUUCGGCUAGGGGGCCAUCCCGGCUUACCAACCCGAUGCAAACUGCGAAUACCGGAGAAUGUUAUCACGGGAGACACACGGCGGGUGCUAACGUCCGUCGUGAAGAGGGAAACAACCCAGACCGCCAGCUAAGGUCCCAAAGUCAUAGUUAAGUGGGAAACGAUGUGGGAAGGCCCAGACAGCCAGGAUGUUGGCUUAGAAGCAGCCAUCAUUUAAAGAAAGCGUAAUAGCUCACUGGUCGAGUCGGCCUGCGCGGAAGAUGUAACGGGGCUAAACUAUGCACCGAAGCUGCGGCAGCGACACUAUGUGUUGUUGGGUAGGGGAGCGUUCUGUAAGCCUGUGAAGGUGUGU